rnacentral:rRNA from 1 species
UACGUAGGGUGCAAGCGUUAAUCGGAAUUACUGGGCGUAAAGCGUGCGCAGGCGGUGAUGUAAGACAGAUGUGAAAUCCCCGGGCUCAACCUGGGAACUGCAUUUGUGACUGCAUCGCUGGAGUACGGCAGAGGGGGAUGGAAUUCCGCGUGUAGCAGUGAAAUGCGUAGAUAUGCGGAGGAACACCGAUGGCGAAGGCAAUCCCCUGGGCCUGUACUGACGCUGAGGAGCGAAAGCAUGGGGAGCGAACAGG